rnacentral:rRNA from 1 species
GACGAACGCUGGCGGCGUGCUUAGCACAUGCAAGUCGAACGGAAAGGCCCUGCUUGCAGGGUACUCGAGUGGCGAACGGGUGAGUAACACGUGGGUGAUCUGCCCUGCACUUCGGGAUAGGCCUGGGAAACUGGGUCUAAUACCGGAUAGGAGCCAUUUUUAGUGUGAUGGUUGGAAAGUUUUUUCGGUGUAGGAUGAGCUCGCGGCCUAUCAGCUUGUUGGUGGGGUAAUGGCCUACCAAGGCGGCGACGGGUAGCCGGCCUGAGAGGGUGGACGGCCACAUUGGGACUGAGAUACGGCCCAGACUCCUACGGGAGGCAGCAGUGGGGAAUAUUGCACAAUGGGCGCAAGCCUGAUGCAGCGACGCCGCGUGGGGGAUGACGGCCUUCGGGUUGUAAACUCCUUUCGCUAGGGACGAAGCUUUUGUGACGGUACCUAGAUAAGAAGCACCGGCUAACUACGUG